UGGUUGUCUUCUGUCUUGCGUUUGCAUUUCCACAGCGUGAAGUGUACUAACCUACAGCAGUCAUAAUGACCUGCUCUUGAUGUGAGUUCAACACACUGGUGCCAAGCAUAUGGUGAACUCCAUAUGCUCAACUUCCGUGACAUUAUCCAACCCAAAAACGCUAGCCUAUUCCAGGACAGCCUACAAACUGUAACCCCCGUGUGCAACUCCAUGACACCAGCAAAUAAGCUGUCGCUGGCCGGAUGGGAAGGAUGCCAUAACACGAGGAGGUGGAGAAAAGGCACCUACGGACCUUUCAUUAUCCAUCCACAGAGCAGCUCUGGUCCAGAGUCAUGACAGUGUCGGCAGUGCCGCCUCUGUGUGCUUUCAUAGCUUUCGUCAGAAAGUCUUACCGCCCUCCUUCACUUUUCAAACAGCCCACAGGUCCUCAGCUUCACAAAGGACCCUGUGGAUGGAGCACGCCCCCGCAAACCUGUCUCCCUCAUUCUAGCUACAGACAGGAAAACAUCUCAGAGUUGGUGUUCAGCAUGCCACAGACUGAAUCAUACAUGUCAAAUAUGACUAUGAGUAAACAAG